GCAGCGGUAAUACCGGCCUGUCACGCCGGGGGUCGCGGGUUCGAGUCCCGUCCGCUGCGCCA
rnacentral:tRNA from 1 species